rnacentral:tRNA from 1 species
GCUCAGUCGGUAGAGCAUGGGACUCAUUAAUCCCAGGGUUGUGGGUUCGAGCCCCAC